AGCAGUGUGUCUGUCUCUUUCCUUCCAGAGAUCUAUUGUCAGAGCUCUCCACAGUGCACUGUUUAGUCCAUCUGAUUGUGUAUUGACAUGUCUAUGGCUGUUCAAAAACUCCUGCUGAAGCCUUCUCAGCUCACUUUCUGGAAAGUAUUGGUUCUGAAAAGGUCCAGCAGUAUCCACAGCAAACCCCCAAAAGGAAAAGUUGGUCCACUUGAAACCAUCAUUGGAUUUUUAGCUUUCACAACAGGCCUUCUAAUACCGGCUGGAUACAUUCUAAAGCACCUUCCAGAGCAACGAAAACAUUAGCAGGAAAGAUGUAAUAAUUGGGGCAUCAUGUUAUUGUGCAUAAACACUUCUGAACUGCCUUGUAAAUGGCCAUCUUAAAUGAAAUUGUAUGCAUGUACAUUUUGAAGGAUUUUUUAAAAGUUUAUUUUUGUUUGUGUUGUGUAAUAAAGGAAGUGACUUCAGCCAACUACUAAAUAAAGGAACCUUUAACCUGUACCCAGCAUUGUUUUAAAAAAGCCUUGUAAAUGGCCAUCUUAAAUGAAAUUGUAUGCAUGUACAUUUUGAAGGAUUUUUUAAAAGUUUA